UGACGGUGCCUAUAUUCAGUUCA
rnacentral:misc_RNA from 1 species